UCUGUACGGUAUGCAUACGUAUAUACGGUAUGUACAAUUUCAUACCGUAGCCGAGCUGGAAGUUGGUGGGCCGAUUGGUAGGCCCAAAUAGUAAGCCCAAAUAGUAAGCCCAAAUAGUAAGCCCAAAUAGUAAGCCCAAAUAGUAAGCCCGAAUGGUAGGCCCAAAUGGUAGACCCAAAUGGUAAGCCCAAUUGUUCGGCCCGAAUAGUAGGCCCAAAUGUUAAACCCAAAGUGGUUUGGGCCGGUUCGAAAUGUGGAUGGUCCGAUUUCUUCAGGCCCAAUUGGCCAGCCCUAGUGCUUAACCCAAGGAUUGAGCAAGCCCAAGUCAUCAUCAUUGGAUGACAUAAUUUAUUGGCGUGCUUUUGGGGAUGAUUUGUUUUGAGUGAUGCAUCUUAAGUUUUACUAUGGAGAUUUACCGUGAUGCUAAUUGAGUAGCGAAACACUUUGUGAGAGUGUUUACUGUGCUUGUAUGCCAGUACAGAGUGAUGAUCUAUGUGAAGAUCUAUGUGAUGAUCUAUGUGAAGAUCUAUGUAAGGAUCUAUGAGAUGAUCCACGUGAUGAUUUUGUGUAAUUGAUGUGGAGUGAUGUUGAGCAGUUGUUUUGUGAAUUUACAUUGUGAUGAAAGGAUUUAGUGGCCCUAGGAAUGUAUUUUUAUACAAAGGAUUGUGGCUUUGUAGAUUACUACAGAUUUGGAAAAGAUGGAGAUUCUAUGAUUAGGUCAACCUUAAUCGAGAGGAAUUGACUUACGCUCAAAUUUCGGGACGAAAUUUCUUUAAGGAGGGUAGAUUGUAAUACCCCGAAAAAUCCAAAUUAAAUUCCAUGGUUUUUUAGAAAUGAUUUCACGAUAGUAGGAGCGAGUACGAAGCUUGGAAAAGUUGUGGAAUUAGUUCGAACGAUUUUAUUUUCGAAAACGAACGUUUUUAGGGGGUCAACAAAGUUGACUUUUUAUACGUUCAAAAUUUGGGAAAACUUCCUUCAUGAAAGUUGUAGAGCUCGUCGAUACGAGUUCGUGGACAUGUGGAACGCAUUAUUUGGAGUUCGUAUGAAUAAGUUAUGAAUAUUUUAAAAUUGAGAAUUUUCUAUAAAUACAAAAAAUCAGAUUUCUCAAUAAGGAAACCCGAAAAUUUCCAGAUUUUUCUCCUCCUCGCUGCCUUGGCUUCACGGCGUCGCCACGACUUCAUCCGGCCACCUAUGGCCAUGAAAUUGAUAUCAAUCUCUUCGCCUUGAAACCAGCUUUCCAUUCAUAUAUGUCUUGCAUCCUAUCAUUCACCAUAGACAACGAAUCGAAGCAAAGAAGGUCAGACCAUUUUUCAUGCAUUUCUUCAAAUUCCAGCCAACUCCGGCAAAGGUAGGAGGGGAGACCAACUGGGCUUUGUUCGCCUUGCCAUGCUCUAUAAACUCACCAAGUUUCACAUCUCGAUUCAACCCGAGGAAGACGAAUUUCAGAUUUGAGCGAUUUUGGGCGAUUUCGGCCUCUUUCUUCUUGAGGUGAUUGGCGGAUUGAUUUGGCGGACGAUUCGUAAAAUCGUUGUUGAGCUGUUUAGAAGACGCAGCGGGAUUAUCGAGCGGGUAAUCCUACAGGACAGGAGAACCAGGACGGUGACCGUGCGGUUAGAGCAAUUGUUAGAGUUUUACAGCAAUUGUAAGUUGUGAGGUGUGUUAUGCUCAUUUAGAGCUUUACAAUAUUGCUUGUGAGAGUGAAUUGUAAUAAUGAACUCGAGGUUUCGAGAUUUGGAGUUUGUGUACCUUGUGGUGAGAUUAUAUUGAGAAAAAAAUUCAGAACGUUUAUUUGAUUAAGUGGUUUAAUUCAUGUUUCGGAUUUGAAUUUAUUAUUC